UGUCUAAUUUUGGGAAAAGAUUUGUCGUGGCCUUGCCUGGACAAAAGGGUCAGCGGAGAUUAUUUGCCAACUUUGUCUUGUUUACCCUGGAAUAUAGUAAUUUUAAUGUGACAUUAUCUACCAAAUGGUCGAACCAGAGUACGUACUAUAACUAUACCAUUACUAAUGGAAGACCAGCUCGAGCCAGACUCAGUCAUGAAUUCGUUGGGUUUGAAAAGUACGGUCAAAAGGGCAAUAGCUAUGCACUGAAAGCAAACUACAGAUUCUCAUGCCAGGUAUUUCUGGAGAAUAAAGUUCACUUCAAUAUUUCGGCUCAUUUCUUGGCAUUGCCCAUGGAAGGAUGGGGACAAGUGUA
rnacentral:sRNA from 1 species